GUGCUUGUUUUAAUAGCAGAUAUACUCAAAUUGGAACCAUGCAGAGAAAAUUAGCAUGGCCCCUGCAGAAGGAUGGCACAUAAAUUUGUGAAGUUUUACUUUUUUUU
rnacentral:snRNA from 1 species